rnacentral:rRNA from 1 species
GGUGAACCUGGUGUAAGGAUGUAGGGCUGACGAUAGGCAAAUCCGUCGUCUGUAUGCCUGAGAUCCGACGCGUACCCGUAAGGGGAAAUCAGUGAUCCUAUGCUGCCGAGAAAAGCAUCGACGCGAGGUUGCAGCCGCCCGUACCCGAAACCGACUCAGGUGGUCAGGUAGAGAAUACCAAGGAGAUCGAGAGAAUCGUGGUUAAGGAACUCGGCAAAAUGCCCCCGUAACUUCGGGAGAAGGGGGGCCGGACACGUGACCGGAUUUACUCCGUGAGCGUUGAAGGCCGCAGAGACCAGUGGGAAGCGACUGUUUACUAAAAACACAGGUCCGUGCGAAGUCGCAAGACGAUGUAUACGGACUGACGCCUGCCCGGUGCUGGAAGGUUAAGAGGAGGGGUUAGCCUUUGGGCGAAGCUCUGAAUUUAAGCCCCAGUAAACGGCGGUGGUAACUAUAACCAUCCUAAGGUAGCGAAAUUCCUUGUCGGGUAAGUUCCGACCUGCACGAAUGGCGUAACGACUUCCCAGCUGUCUCAACCGCGAACUCGGCGAAAUUGCACUACGAGUAAAGAUGCUCGUUACGCGCAGCAGGACGGAAAGACCCCGUGACCUUUACUACAGUUUGGUAUUGGUGUUCGGUGUGGCUUGUGUAGGAUAGGUGGGAGACUGUGAAGCGGGCACGCUAGUGUUCGUGGAGUCAUUGUUGAAAUACCACUCUGGUCACUCUGGAUGUCUAACGUAGGACCCUGAUCGGGUUCAUGGACAGUGCCUGAUGGGUAGUUUAACUGGGGCGGUUGCCUCCCAAAGAGUAACGGAGGCGCCCAAAGGUUCCCUCAACCUGGUUGGCAAUCAGGUGGCGAGUGUAAGUGCACAAGGGAGCUUGACUGUGAGACUGACAGGUCGAGCAGGGACGAAAGUCGGGACUAGUGAUCCGGCAGUGGCUUGUGGAAGCGCUGUCGCUCAACGGAUAAAAGGUACCUCGGGGAUAACAGGCUGAUCUUGCCCAAGAGUCCAUAUCGACGGCAUGGUUUGGCACCUCGAUGUCGGCUCGUCGCAUCCUGGGGCUGGAGUAGGUCCCAAGGGUUGGGCUGUUCGCCCAUUAAAGCGGUACGCGAGCUGGGUUUAGAACGUCGUGAGACAGUUCGGUCCCUAUCCGCUGCGCGCGUUGGAAAUUUGAGAAGAUCUAUCCCUAGUACGAGAGGACCGGGAUGGACGAACCUCUGGUGUGUCAGUUGUUCUGCCAAGGGCACCGCUGAUUAGCUACGUUCGGACCGGAUAACCGCUGAAAGCAUCUAAGCGGGAAGCCGUCUUCGAGAUGAGAUUUCCAUGCACCUUGAGUGUGAGAGGCUCCCAGCAGACUACUGGGUUGAUAGGCCGGAUGUGGAAGCGGGGACUAACGACCCGUGGAGCUGACCGGUACUAAUAAGCCGAAGACUUGACAA